AGGGCACCACCAGGAGUGGAGCCUGCGGCUUAAUUUGACUCAACACGGGAAAUCUCACCAGGCCCGGACACCGGAAGGAUUGACAGAUUGAGAGCUCUUUCUUGAUUCGGUGGGUGGUGGUGCAUGGCCGUUCUUAGUUGGUGGAGCGAUUUGUCUGGUUAAUUCCGAUAACGAACGAGACUCUGGCCUACUAACUAGACGUUAGAUCCCUUUGUGGGUCUAUCGCAGCUUCUUAGAGGGACGGGCGGCGUUUAGCCGCACGAGAUUGAGCAAUAACAGGUCUGUGAUGCCCUUAGAUGUUCUGGGCUGCACGCGCGCUACACUGAAGGAAUCAGCGUGUGUUCCCUGUCCGAAAGGACUGGGAAACCCGUUGAACCUCCUUCGUGAUGGGGAUUGGGGAUUGCAAUUAUUCCCCAUGAACGAGGAAUUCCCAGUAGGCGCGAGUCAUAAGCUUGCGUCGAUUACGUCCCUGCCCUUUGUACACACCGCCCGUCGCUACUACCGAUCGAGUGAUUUAGC
rnacentral:rRNA from 1 species